rnacentral:rRNA from 1 species
CAUGCAAGUCGAACGCUCCGCAAGGAGAGUGGCAGACGGGUGAGUAACGCGUGGGAAUCUACCUAGUUCUGCGGAACAACAGUUGGAAACGACUGCUAAUACCGCAUACGCCCUACGGGGGAAAGAUUUAUCGGAAUUAGAUGAGCCCGCGUAAGAUUAGCUAGUUGGUGGGGUAAUGGCCUACCAAGGCGACGAUCUUUAGCUGGUCUGAGAGGAUGAUCAGCCACACUGGGACUGAGACACGGCCCAGACUCCUACGGGAGGCAGCAGUGGGGAAUAUUGGACAAUGGGCGCAAGCCUGAUCCAGCCAUGCCGCGUGAGUGAUGAAGGCCUUAGGGUUGUAAAGCUCUUUCAGUGGGGAAGAUAAUGACGGUACCCACAGAAGAAGCCCCGGCUAACUUCGUGCCAGCAGCCGCGGUAAUACGAAGGGGGCUAGCGUUGUUCGGAUUUACUGGGCGUAAAGCGCACGUAGGCGGAUUGUUAAGUGAGGGGUGAAAUCCUGGAGCUCAACUCCAGAACUGCCUUUCAUACUGGCAAUCUAGAGUCCGGAAGAGGUAAGUGGAACUCCUAGUGUAGAGGUGGAAUUCGUAGAUAUUAGGAAGAACACCAGUGGCGAGGCGGCUU